AACAAUAUAUAUCAAAAUUAUAUAUUGUAUUAUAUGUUAUGACCAUAUAUGUUAACAAUAUAUAUCAAAAUUAUAUAUGGUACUCUAUGUUUUGACCAUUUGUUACCAAUGUAUAUACUGAAUUUAUGCAAGUUUAUUAACCAUAUAUGCCUAAAAGAUACUGCUUAUUGUAAAUCAUAUAACACAAUUCAUUGCUUAACUUUAUUAAUUGUUUCAAUUUAGUUUUCUGGGGGAAAAAGUAGAGAUGAAUAUAUAACCUGUUCAAAAAAUGCCAAUGUACUAAAAGUUACUUGUAGGAAUGUAUUAUAGAGUUAUUGAGGGGGGAAACACUUCAUGUAACUGUUUGUCCAUAUGUGCUCUCAUCAUCAAUGAACUAAAAUGCAUUUUAUUAAAAUACAUGAGCGAUUGUAUGUGAACGUCACAAUAGCGCUUUUGCGCAUGCGCCAAAAUUCAAACACACCCGCGCUAACGGCAGAGUCUGAGCAAUGGCUGCGGCUAAACAAACAGUCAUCUGCAGUAAGAUGUUUUUCUUAGUGGAAGGAUAACAAAUGUGCCAGUACCUUCACAUAAUAAACGACAAUGAUUUUAUAGACGGGCACGAAGACAGACCGACAUCACUGAGUGGAGUGGAUGAAACGCCUUUGAAUGUGGCAGCGGUGCAGGUAAUGAGUCCCGACAUUCUCAGAAAAUAGAAAUGGAGGCCGAACCUGCAGAUGUGGAUGGCAGUGAUGUGAAUGAUGGAGCAUCUACACAGAAAAGAUGCUGGAAUCCAGAAAUUUCUUCACCUGGGGCCUACUGGGGAUGGCAAUAAACAAAAAACUAACCAAGCUGUGGGAAUACAAACCUGUAGACCUUUAGCUGAACCACUACAAUUGAUGUUCUGUUUCUUAUGCCUGUUCAGUGUUUUGAUCAGUUAUAUAUGUAAUUGUUUCUUUUUUGUCCUGUUUGAUUGUGCAGGUCAGUAACUUUUUUUUUCUAUUUAAAUAAAUUCUGUUUAAAUAAAGAUGCUUCUUUGUGUAACUUUCUGUACCAUUUAACAUUUAAGGCUAAAGGUGUGAAAUGUGCAAUGCACUGCAACUUUGUAGAGUGUCUUACAUGUGUCUACAACCUCUAUUUAAAGAUCAAAGAUCACAUAUUAAAAUAUUAAAUAUAUGAUACCAUAUAUUUCAUGCAUAUAUGUCUAAUUUGUAUACAACAUAAUAAAAACAUACAUAUAUCUCACAUAUAUUAAUAAUUAUAUACAUUUCAUAUAUGGCAAUGCAUGUAUUAUACAUACAUAAACAUAUAUUUUUGUAUGGGGUAGACUUAUAUGUCAAUAUAUGAAAUUGUUCCAUUUUCUAAUAGGAAUCAUAUAUGG